AGUCCGGCGCCGGAUCGCGGUUGCCCAGCGCGCUGUGCCCUGCCGGGGGCGGGCCACGUUUGAUCUCCGGGCCCGCAGCAAGGGAUCGCGAAGGUAUUGAUCUAGGCGCUGCUGUGAAGGGAAUUUGCAGAUGUAAUUGGCCUAAAUCAGUUGGCUUUAAUAUCAGGAAAUUGUCCUCAGUGGGCAUGGCCAUAUGGAGCCCUUACAAGGGACUGGGCUCUUCCUGGUGAAAAAGAUUUGAAUCACGAGAGUGGCUGAUAUGAGGGAAAUUCUUUGCUGUUGCCUUCGAAGACAGAAGAGGUCCACAAGGCAAAGGAUGCAGACAGCCUGUAGGAGCUGAGACUGGCUCCUGGCUGACAGCCAGCAAGGAAAUGAGGACCUCAGUCCUCCAAUCAUGAAGCAGACUCCGACUUCUGCUAACAACCUGAAUACACUUCAAAGAGGAUUCUGAGCUCCAGCCGCCUACACAUUGAUUUCAGCUGUUGGGACCCUCAGCCGAGAACCCAGCUAUGCCGUGCCCAGAUGUAAGACCUACACAUCUGUGAGCUUAAACAUCAUCCCAAACCACAGAACACUUGUCUUUCUUUGCACUUCUCAGUAUCAAAGGAGAAUAUCGUCCUUCAUCUGGAGAAUGUGAGCAUGGCACAUGGCAAUCCAGAAAAAAGACUGCAUUUCCCAGCCUCCCUUACAGCUGCUGAGACCACAGGGCUAAGUUCCUGCCAAUGAGAGGGGAAAUCUGGACACAGAGACAAACAUGCACAGAAGGAAGACUAUAUAAAGAGACACAAGGAGAAGACUGCCACCUACAAGCCAAUGAGAAAAACCUGCAACACAUUCUUCCCUAAGAGGCCUCAGAAGGAAACAACCCUGCUGACACCUUCGUUUCAGACUUGUAGCCUGCAGAUCCUGAGACAAUACAUUUCUGUUAAGACACCCUAUUUGUGCAGCUUUGUAAAGGCAGCCCCAGCAUAUAUGUAAAGCUAUAUAUGUAAAGCUUUACAUGUGUGUAUAUAUAUAUAUACACAUACACAGCAACCUGCAUACUGUGUAUAUAUACACAUAUAUACAUGUAUACAUAUGUACAUAUAGCUAUACACAUAUGUACUUUACAUAUAUAUGUAUAAACACACAAAGGAACGUGAAUAUAUACAUAUACACACACAAACUUAUAAGAAAGUAACUUCAAAUAUAAUGGCAUAGUUAAGUUGUAAGUAAAAACUGUUCUAGACACUCGAUUAGCAAAACAAAAAAUCUUGGCCCUCACGGAACUUACAUUCUAGUGGAAUAUUAAUAGUUGAGCAUAUCAAGGAGUGUAGGUCAAGUGGCUGGGGGAAAUGCCACUGACUGGCAAGAUUACACCUACAUUUCCAGGGCAGAGAGAAGAAAAUGAGUUCCCAAAGACAGAAAAAGACAUGUUGGCACAAUAGCCAAGAAAUGGAAGAGACUGUGUCAACUGCAGAUGUUGAAACUAGUAAAAAUCAAGUCCAAGAGACUUGGCAAUUAGGAGUACAUUUGACUUCAACAAAAAUAAUUCCAGGAGUGUGAUGGCAGCUGAGAUUCUAGCAUGUAAACUACUUGCCAGCGACUUUAGGAGAUUACCUGAGCCACUCUGUUGCGCCAAUGUGACAAAACCCACCCUGAAUAAAUCCAACCUUUGACUGCUUCCACAACUAUGGCUUCGACAAUGGGCAUUACUGAAGAAAGCACUGCCAUUUAGCUAUCACUGUAAGUCUACGGUGUCCAACUCACCGCUAGUCCAUUCUCUAAUUCUCCAGGAUUGCUAUUUCAAACUAGCUGUUAUACUCAUACAUCAUCCUUACCUCCUCCUUGCUUCUGGAACCAAUAACAUCAAUCAUAUGGUUCUCAAAGACAUGAAAGCCAAACCACUAAGUAACUCUUUUAACUCUCUGCUGUUCAAAUGACACACAUGCCUAUGUCCACAACCAUCCCUUCAUCUGCCUUUGAUCUGGAUCCCAACUUCCUCCUCCUGUUCAGGAACCUUGGUGUACCAAUGAUCUUAGUCAACCCCUCCUGAACCUCCCGCAUUUUUACCUCUACUGAUUCCAUCUCACUAUCCUAUUAGCAGUUAAACAUGAAAUUCAAGUUUCUUCCACUAAAAAAAAAACACAACAACAUCAACAAAACACGCCAGGCACAGUGGCUCACACCUGUAAUCCUAGCACUUUGGGAGGCCAAGGCAGGCGGAUCACCUGAAGUCAGGAGUUCAAGACCAGCCUGGCCAACAUGGUGAAACUCCUUCUCUACUAAAAACACAGAAUUUAGCUGGGUGUGGUGAUGCGUGCCUGUAAUCCCAGCUACUUGGAAGGCUGAGGCAGAAGAAUUGCUUGAACCCAGGAGGUGGAGGUUGCAGAGAGCCGAGAUCAGACCACUGCAUUCCAGUCUGGGCAACAGAGAGGCUCCGCAUUAAAAAAAAAAAAAAAAAUCCUUCAACCACAUAUAAUUCUAUUGCUGUAGCUCUGCCCUUCGUUAACAGUUUUUAAACAGUUGCCCAUACGUGCUACUGCAUUUCUUUACUUUGGGGUCCUCUCCCACCACAAACUAGGUAGACCCUGAUCACUCCACUGAAAUUGUUCUUGAUGAAAUUACGAUACGGCCUGGUUAAGAAAGCCAAAGGGGGCCGGGCGCGGUGGCUCACGCCUGUAAUCCCAGCACUUUGGGAGGCCGAGGCGGGCGGAUCACGAGGUCAGGAGAUCGAGACCAUCCCGGCUAAAAAACGGUGAAACCCCGUCUCUACUAAAAAUACAAAAAAUUAGCCGGGCGUAGUGGCGGG
rnacentral:lncRNA from 1 species